GACAACAUUCCCAACUCCUUUAGGCCCAAGAGAGGGCUGAGGAACAAGGUCGGUUUAAGGCAAUGCAGUGCUCUAACAGCAGCUCUGGAAAACACUUCCAGAGCUCUGCCCCCAUGGCUCUGUGCCCAGCCACACCCUUCCCUAGUUGAAGUGAUGAUAACAGAACCCUCCUUCCCCUCCCAGGAAGCAACAGCGAUAUGAUGAUCCUUUCUACACCAGAGAAGAAGCAAGACGGGCCCCUCUGCCUCCUAAGAGGCAGGAGUGGCAGCAAUCCCCCCCACACCACAUCACCACUAAUAUUUACCCCAAUAACCAGGGUAUAUCUGCUUUGGUUGGUGGGCAAGGCCUGCUGUAUUCUUCUUCUGCUACAUGCAGAGUCCUCUGCUGGGUUGGCCUUGUCGGGGGCACCCAGAGCCGCAAGCCAUUUUGAUGCAUGGGAGAGUGCACAUCACUCAAAGUUGUCGUUUCAAGCUGUCUGCAGAUUCAGAAAAACAUCUCUGCAUCGGUUACAUUUGGGGGGCAUAGCCCAUACAAUUUCAAAAUUUUCUUCACAACUAUGAAAUCUAGCAACUUUCCUUUAAAAAAAAAAAAAAAAAAGGAAAAAAAGAACUGAGAUUCAGAUGUAAUCACAAGACUCUAGGAGCAGAGGUCCUUUGCAUACGCCUCUGGUGCCUAUGUAGGGUGGCCAACUUUCUAAUCUGUAAAAACUGGACACUGAGUGCCAGAACUUCCUCUGCCUCCUACUCCGCCUCUUCCCCCGAGGCCCCCCCCUACUCCUCUUUCCACCCCACUGUCACUUGCUGCUUUCUCCAUCACCCUCCCCCUGCCAGCUGAGCAGGGCUCUAGGGGUGGAAGUGUGCCUGGGCAAGAUGCUGGAGAGAGAGAUAUGGACUCUGGGGGUAAAAGACCUAACCUCAUCGGACACUGAGGGACGGGAGUCUACAUUCUUCUGCAGACGCAUGCAGUUUCUGGAAGAAAACAGUGUCCUGUCAUAGGGAGGCUGCUGGUUACUUCUGUCAGCAGGCAGUGUGUCACCCCUACGCCCAUCCCACCCACCAUGCUGAUGGAAAACCUAUAUGCUGCCCUGGCAACGAGCGAUGAGGAAUCACCCCCAAAGGUGGAGAAGGAGAAGCCAUGUACCCCCAAGGCUGGAAGGAUCGCAGCCACCGCUCCCAGGAGGAAACAUAAGGUAGUGGUGGUCAGUGACUUUCAUCUGAGGGAGAUGGAGGCACCCAUCUGUCAGCCUGACAUGGCAUCCCGGGAGUUAUGCAGCCUGCCAGAGCCCUAUAUCCGAGACGUUAUGGAGCGAUUGUUGAGAAUCUUCCAGUCCUCUGACUACUACCCCAUGCUACUCAUCCAUGUGGGCACAAAUGAUACUGCGAGCUAUGACCCUCUGCAGAUCCCAAGUGACCACAGGGCUCUGGGUGUACCGUGGUAUGAGGAAGUUGGGAGCGCAGGUAGUGUUCUCUUCGAUCCUUCCAGUGAAGGGUAGGGGCCUUAACAGAGACAGGUGCAUCCUGGAGGUGACUGCCUGGCUGAAAGGAUGGUGUCACCAGGAGGACUUCAGCUUCCUUGACCACGGGAUGUUCUUCUGGGAAAAAGGACUGCUAAGUAGAGAUGGGGUCCACCUUUCAAGGAAGGGGAAAAGUAUGUUUGGAUAAAGACUAGCUAACCUAGUGAGAUGAGAUUUAAACUAGAGUGGAUGGGGGCAGGAGACAAAAGCUCACAGGUAGUCAAAAAUAUGGAGACCUGGGAGAAGGGUCGGUAUCUGGGGGGGAGCAUGGGUUGUGAUAGCAGGGAUAAGGGAAAAACAAAAGGGAACAUAGGAGGGAAUCAAAUCAGUAUCUUAGAUGUCUGUAUACUAAUGCGAGAAGUAUGGGGAAUAAGCAGGAAGAACCAGGAAUGCUAGUUAAUAAACUUAACUAUGACUGUUGGCAUCACAUAGUGGGAUAAUACAUAUGACUGGAAUACUGGUAUAGAAGGGUACACCUUGCUCAGGAAGAACAGGAAGGAUAAAAAAGGGAGGAAGUGUUGCCUUAUUUAUUAAAAAUGUAUAUACUUGGACUGAGUCUGAGAUGGAAAUA